UACGUAGGGUGCGAGCGUUGUCCGGAAUUAUUGGGCGUAAAGGGCUCGUAGGCGGUUUGUCGCGUCGGGAGUGAAAUCCACUGGCUUAACUGGUGGCUUGCUUCGAUACGGGCAGACUGGAGGUAUGCAGGGGAGAACGGAAUUCCUGGUGUAGCGGUGAAAUGCGCAGAUAUCAGGAGGACACCGGUGGCGAAGGCGGUUCUCUGGGCAUGUCCUGACGCUGAGGAGCGAAAGUGUGGGGAGCGAACAGG
rnacentral:rRNA from 1 species